AUGAGAAGCACGGCUCCAAGCAGAAGAAGUGUUGUGUGCUCCAAAUAUCCAGUGUUUUCAAUAGGAAUUCGAUUGCACCAGGGCAGUAAGAAUAGGGUUAGAAAGAAUAUUGUGGCAAUUUCUGUGAAACUUCUUCGUCAAUCCUUUUGCAGUUUUAUGAGCAAGCAAGAAGUUAAAGCAGAAUCAACAGGUUUGUUGUGUAUGGCUUUUGUAGUCCUGCUAUAUCUGGG
rnacentral:lncRNA from 1 species